rnacentral:rRNA from 1 species
GACGAACGCUGGCGGCGUGCUUAACACAUGCAAGUCGAACGCUGAAGCUCAGCUUUUGUUGGGUGGAUGAGUGGCGAACGGGUGAGUAACACGUGAGUAACCUGCCUCCUUCUUUGGGAUAACGCCCGGAAACGGGUGCUAAUACUGGAUAUUCACUGGUCUUCGCAUGGGGGUUGGUGGAAAGGGUUUUUCUGGUGGGGGAUGGGCUCGCGGCCUAUCAGCUUGUUGGUGGGGUGAUGGCCUACCAAGGCUUUGACGGGUAGCCGGCCUGAGAGGGUGACCGGUAACAUUGGGACUGAGAUACGGCCCAGACUCCUACGGGAGGCAGCAGUGGGGAAUAUUGCACAAUGGGCGCAAGCCUGAUGCAGCGACGCCGCGUGAGGGAUGGAGGCCUUCGGGUUGUGAACCUCUUUCGCUAAUGGUCAAGCCGCAACAAUGGUUGUGGUGAGGGUAGUGGGUAAAGAAGCGCCGGCUAACUACGUG